UACGUAGGGUGCGAGCGUUAAUCGGAAUUACUGGGCGUAAAGCGUGCGCAGGCGGUGAUGUAAGACCGAUGUGAAAUCCCCGGGCUUAACCUGGGAACUGCAUUGGUGACUGCAUUGCUGGAGUAUGGCAGAGGGGGGUGGAAUUCCACGUGUAGCAGUGAAAUGCGUAGAGAUGUGGAGGAACACCGAUGGCGAAGGCAGCCCCCUGGGCCAAUACUGACGCCUCAUGCACGAAAGCGUGGGGGAGCAAACAGGAUUGAGAU
rnacentral:rRNA from 1 species